rfam:Rattus norvegicus chromosome 13, whole genome shotgun sequence.
GGGGAUUUGGCUCAGUGGUAGAGCGCUUGCCUAGCAAGCGCAAGGCCCUGGGUUCAAUCCCCAGCUCCG